GACGAACGCUGGCGGCGUGCUUAACACAUGCAAGUCGAACGGAAAGGCCCUGCUUGCAGGGUACUCGAGUGGCGAACGGGUGAGUAACACGUGGGUGAUCUGCCCUGCACUUCGGGAUAAGCCUGGGAAACUGGGUCUAAUACCGGAUAGGAGCCAUUUUUAGUGUGAUGGUUGGAAAGUUUUUUCGGUGUAGGAUGAGCUCGCGGCCUAUCACCUUGUUGGUGGGGUAAUGGCCUACCAAGGCGGCGACGGGUAGCCGGCCUGAGAGGGUGGACGGCCACAUUGGGACUGAGAUACGGCCCAGACUCCUACGGGAGGCAGCAGUGGGGAAUAUUGCACAAUGGGCGCAAGCCUGAUGCAGCGACGCCGCGUGGGGGAUGACGGCCUUCGGGUUGUAAACUCCUUUCGCUAGGGACGAAGCUUUUUGUGACGGUACCUAGAUAAGAAGCACCGGCUAACUACGUG
rnacentral:rRNA from 1 species